CUUAAGCAUAUCAAUAAGCGGAGGAAAAGAAACCAACAGGGAUUGCCCUAGUAACGGCGAGUGAAGCGGCAACAGCUCAAAUUUGAAAUCUGGCGCAAGCCCGAGUUGUAAUUUGUAGAGGAUGCUUCAGGGCAGCGGCCGGUCUAAGUUCCUUGGAACAGGACGUCAUAGAGGGUGAGAAUCCCGUAUGCGACCGGUUGGCACCCGUCACGUAGCUCCUUCGACGAGUCGAGUUGUUUGGGAAUGCAGCUCUAAAUGGGAGGUAAAUUUCUUCUAAAGCUAAAUACCGGCCAGAGACCGAUAGCGCACAAGUAGAGUGAUCGAAAGAUGAAAAGCACUUUGGAAAGAGAGUUAAAAAGCACGUGAAAUUGUUGAAAGGGAAGCGCAUGCAACCAGACUUGUCGGCGGUGUUCCGCCGGUCUUCUGACCGGUCUAUUCGCCGCCGGCAGGCCAGCAUCAUCUGGGCGCGCCGGAUAAAGGCGUGGGGAAUGUAGCUCCUCGGAGUGUUAUAGCCCUGCGCACAAUACGGCGCCGCCCGGGUGAGGUCCGCGCUUCGGCUAGGAUGCUGGCGUAAUGGUUGUCUGCGGCCCGUCUUGAAACACGGACCAAGGAGUCUAACAUCUAUGCGAGUGUUCGGGUGUCAAACCCCUACGCGUAAUGAAAGUGAACGGAGGUGGGAAGCGCAAGCUGCACCAUCGACCGAUCCUGAUGUCUUCGGAUGGAUUUGAGUAAGAGCAUAGCUGUUGGGACCCGAAAGAUGGUGAACUAUGCCUGAAUAGGGUGAAGCCAGAGGAAACUCUGGUGGAGGCUCGCAGCGGUUCUGACGUGCAAAUCGAUCGUCAAAUUUGGGUAUAGGGGCGAAAGACUAAUCGAACCAUCUAGUAGCUGGUUCCUG
rnacentral:rRNA from 1 species